GAUAAAAUGACAGAAAUGUUAAGGGGAGUCAGCCGUUUUGGAGGGAGGAAGCUUAAGUCCGUUAGCCUCCUUGCGUGUGCUUUUUGUAUACAAGUUUAUUUAGUGUAUUUGAAAUAUACUGUAUGCAAUGAUCGAUCAUUGUAAAUGAAAAACAAUUUUGAAUGGAAAAGUAUUUGUCGUGUUUUCCCUCGUUAUACCAAGGAAAUCCAGAAAUCAACAAAAAAAAAAAAAAAAAGAUCUAGUGAUUAAGUGCUAAAAAUCUCGACAUAUAUUUGAGUGAAGUACUUCCCACGGUAAAUAUCCCACGUCUUUUAAGGUAAUGUGUGAAAUACUCGGAUAGCAUUAUCACCAUCCAAAGUAGUGUUUUCCGAGAAAAAAAAUACACUCAUACACCUUAGUAAAACUAUUAUAUACGAGUAGCUUAUUCAUUACUCAGAAUCUAAGAAAAAAAAUACUUCUAAUUGGAAAAUAAUUUGGUAUAUUGUGUUUUUUAAAUAUUUCCUCUUAGU